rnacentral:rRNA from 1 species
CGCUGGCGGCGUGCCUAACACAUGCAAGUCGGAUGUGCCCGCAAGGGUGCAUGGCAGACGGGUGAGUAACGCGUGGGGAACCUACCUCUUCGUGGGGAAUAACGUUCCGAAAGGAAUGGUAAUACCGCAUGAGACCAUAGGCUGGGAUGCUUAUGGUGAAACCCGGGGACCGUAAGGCCUGGGGCAAGGAGAGGGUCCUGCGUCUGAUUAGCUAGUUGGUGGGGCAACGGCCUACCAAGGCAUCGAUCAGUAGCCGGCCUGAGAGGGUGAUCGGCCACACUGGAACUGAGACACGGUCCAGACUCCUACGGGAGGCAGCAGUGGGGAAUUUUGCGCAAUGGGCGAAAGCCUGACGCAGCGACGCCGCGUGGGUGAUGAAGGUCUUCGGAUCGUAAAACCCUGUCGUCAGGGACGAAGGUUGUAUGCCUAACAGGUGUGCAGCUUGACGGUACCUGGAGAGGAAGCCCCGGCUAACUCUGUGCCAGCAGCCGCGGUAAUACAGAGGGGGCAAGCGUUAUUCGGAAUUAUUGGGCGUAAAGGGCGCGUAGGCGGUGUCUUAAGUGAGAUGUGUAAUCCCCGAGCUUAACUUGGGAACUGCAUCUCAGACUGGGGCGCUAGAGUACUGGAGAGGGUGGUAGAAUUCCACGUGUAGCGGUGAAAUGCGUAGAGAUGUGGAGGAAUACCAGUGGCGAAGGCGGCCACCUGGACAGUAACUGACGCUGAGGCGCGAAAGUGUGGGUAGCAAACAGGAUUAGAUACCCUGGUAGUCCACGCUGUAAACGAUGAACACUUGGUGUGGCGGGAGUUGACCCCUGCCGUGCCGGAGCUAACGCGAUAAGUGUUCCGCCUGGGGAGUACGGUCGCAAGGCUGAAACUCAAAGGAAUUGACGGGGGCCCGCACAAGCGGUGGAGCAUGUGGUUUAAUUCGACGCAACGCGAAGAACCUUACCUGGGCUUGAACUGCUAGGGACCGGUACAGAGAUGUGCCUUUUCGCAAGAACCGUAGCAGAGGUGCUGCAUGGCUGUCGUCAGCUCGUUUCGUGAGAUGUUGGGUUAAGUCCCGCAACGAGCGCAACCCUUACCUGUAGUUGCCAGCGAGUCAUGUCGGGAACUCUACAGGGGCUGCCCGGGUUAACCGGGAGGAAGGUGGGGAUGAUGUCAAGUCCUCAUGGCCCUUAUGUCCAGGGCUACACACGUGCUACAAUGGGUGGUACAAACCGUUGCGAAGUCACGAGAUGGAGCUAAUCGGAGAAAGCCAUCCUCAGUUCGGAUUGCAGUCUGCAACUCGACUGCAUGAAGGUGGAAUCGCUAGUAAUCGUGUAUCAGAACGAUACGGUGAAUACGUUCCCGGGCCUUGUACACACCGCCCGUCACAUCACGAAAGCCGGGAGCACUUGAAGAGGGUGAGGUAACCGCAAGGAGCCAGCUCUCGAUGGUGAACUUGGUGAUUGGGGUGAAGUCGAAACAAGGUA